UACGAAGGGGGCUAGCGUUGUUCGGAUUUACUGGGCGUAAAGCGCACGUAGGCGGAUUGUUAAGUUAGAGGUGAAAUCCUGGGGCUCAACUCCAGAACUGCCUUUAAUACUGGCAAUCUAGAGUCCGGAAGAGGUGAGUGGAACUCCUAGUGUAGAGGUGGAAUUCGUAGAUAUUAGGAAGAACACCAGUGGCGAAGGCGGCUCACUGGUCCGGUACUGACGCUGAGGUGCGAAAGCGUGGGGAGCAAACAGG
rnacentral:rRNA from 2 species